UUUAAGAAAAGCAUUUUGCAUCAAAAGAAUGCUUUCAUGUGAUAAUGCCGGGGAAGGUUUUCCGGUUUAUCCCGGAGGGCUUGUAGCUCAGUUGGUUAGAGCGCGCGCUUGAUAAGCGUGAGGUCGGAGGUUCAAGUCCUCCCAGGCCCACCAAUUAUCCAUCCAUAGAAAAGCGCUUAGGGAGCUUGAAAAAGAGCUUUCUCGUAAAGUUUGAAAAAAAACUUGUUUAUCGCUUUUUGUAAGAUGUGGCGUUUGUCUGUUUUUAAAGCGGUCGAAACCAAAAGUGUUGCAAAGACAAGGGUCUUGGAGCAGGAAAGAAUAUAAGGUCCAGGUGGUAUCACAUGGUCUAGAGUUGAACUGUUCAGGAUUGGAAUAUUCCAUGUUGAAAUGCUGCGAUAUGAAGGUUUCGGAUAAAUAAUUUCGUUUUGGGGGCCGUAGCUCAGCUGGGAGAGCACCUGCU
rnacentral:tRNA from 1 species